UAGGGAAUCUUCCGCAAUGGACGAAAGUCUGACGGAGCGACGCCGCGUGAGCGAAGAAGGUCUUCGGAUCGUAAAGCUCUGUUGUUAGGGAAGAAGAAGUGCCGUUCGAACAGGGCGGCACGGUGACGGUACCUAACGAGAAAGCCCCGGCUAACUACGUGCCAGCAGCCGCGGUAAUACGUAGGGGGCGAGCGUUGUCCGGAAUUAUUGGGCGUAAAGCGCGCGCAGGCGGUCCCUUAAGUCUGAUGUGAAAGCCCACGGCUUAACCGUGGAGGGUCAUUGGAAACUGGGGGACUUGAGUGCAGAAGAGGGGAGCGGAAUUCCACGUGUAGCGGUGAAAUGCGUAGAGAUGUGGAGGAACACCAGUGGCGAAGGCGGCUCUCUGGCCUGUAACUGACGCUGAGGCGCGAAAGCGUGGGGAGCGAACAGG
rnacentral:rRNA from 1 species